GACGAACGCUGGCGGUAUGCUUAACACAUGCAAGUCGAACGAGACAAGAUGGAAGUGCUUGCACGGAAAUCUUAGAAAGUGGCGAACGGGUGAGUAACGCGUGGGUAACCUGCCCUAUGGAAAGGAAUAGCCUCGGGAAACUGGGAGUAAUGCCUUAUAAGAUAUAUUUGUCGCAUGGCAGAUGUAUUAAACGCUCCGGUGCCAUAGGAUGGACCCGCGUCCCAUUAGCUAGUUUGUGAGAUAACAGCCCACCAAGGCGACGAUGGGUAACCGGUCUGAGAGGGCGAACGGUCACACUGGAACUGAGACACGGUCCAGACUCCUACGGGAGGCAGCAGUGGGGAAUAUUGCGCAAUGGGGGAAACCCUGACGCAGCAAUACCGCGUGAGUGAAGAAGGUUUUCGGAUCGUAAAGCUCUGUUAUUGGGGAAGAAAAAAAGACGGUACCCAAGAAGAAAGUCCCGGCUAACUACGUGCCAGCAGCCGCCGUAA
rnacentral:rRNA from 1 species